rnacentral:rRNA from 1 species
AGUGAGCGCUGGCGGUAGGCCUAACACAUGCAAGUCGAACGGCAGCACAGUAGGAGCUUGCUCUUACGGGUGGCGAGUGGCGGACGGGUGAGGAAUACAUCGGAAUCUACUUUUUCGUGGGGGAUAACGUAGGGAAACUUCCGCUAAUACCGCAUACGACCUACGGGUGAAAGCAGGGGAUCUUCGCACCUUGCGCGAUUGAAUGAGCCGAUGUCGGAUUAGCUAGUUGGCGGGGUAAAGGCCCACCAAGGCGACGAUCCGUAGCUGGUCUGAGAGGAUGAUCAGCCACACUGGAACUGAGACACGGUCCAGACUCCUACGGGAGGCAGCAGUGGGGAAUAUUGGACAAUGGGCGCAAGCCUGAUCCAGCCAUACCGCGUGGGUGAAGAAGGCCUUCGGGUUGUAAAGCCCUUUUGUUGGGAAAGAAAAGCAGCAGGUUAAUACCCCGCUGUUCUGACGGUACCCAAAGAAUAAGCACCGGCUAACUUCGUG